rnacentral:tRNA from 1 species
GGCGCAAUCGAAUAGUGGUAAAUUCGGCUGGCUCUCAAUCAGCAAACGGGGGUUCAAUUCCCCCUUGCGCCACCA